GACGAACGCUGGCGGCGUGCCUAAUACAUGCAAGUUGAGCGCUGAAGGUUGGUACUUGUGCCAACUGGAUGAGCAGCGAACGGGUGAGUAACGCGUGGGGAAUCUGCUUUUGAGCGGGGGACAACAUCUGGAAACGAAUGCUAAUACCGCAUAAAAACUUUAAACACAAGAUUUAAGUUUGAAAGAUGCAAUUGCAUCACUCAAAGAUGAUCCCGCGUUGUAUUAGCUAGUUGGUGAGGUAAAGGCUCACCAAGGCGAUGAUACAUAGCCGACCUGAGAGGGUGAUCGGCCACCUUGGGACUGGGACACGGCCCAAACUCCUACGGGAGGCAGCAGUAGGGGAUCUUCGGACAUGGGCGAAAGUCUGACCGAACAACGCCGCGGGAGUGAAGAAGGUUUUCGGAUCGUAAAACUCUGUUGGUAGAGAAGAACGUUGGUGAGAGUGGAAAGCUCAUCAAGUGACGGUAACUACACAGAAAGGGACGGCUAACUACGUG
rnacentral:rRNA from 1 species